rnacentral:rRNA from 1 species
AUCCCUAGGAGUUAUCUAGGGUGCCCCCUGCUCAAUGCUCUAGUAAAUUGCCGCAGUAUUUUGACUGUGCUAAGGUAGCAUAAUCAUUUGGCUAUUAAUUGUAGUCUAGUAUGAAAGGGAGAACGUAGAGCCCCUGUCUCUAUUGUAUUAAGUUUAAGUUAGUAAUUUGGUGAAAAUACCAAAUCCACAGAAAAAAGACGAGAAGACCCUAGGAAUUAAAAAUUUUGUUGGGGCAACAAACUACAGCCGUAGUUUAAGUACUCUUAUCAGCGACAUAGUAAAAGAUAGUAAAUUACCCUAGGGAUAACAGCACAAUUAUGCAUUUAGCUUGCGACCUCGAUGUUGGACUAGGAUUCUCUGCGGCAAGCAGCCGUGGCUUAGCAC